GACGAACGCUGGCGGCGUGCCUAAUACAUGCAAGUCGUGCGGACCUUUUAAAAGCUUGCUUUUAAAAGGUUAGCGGCGGACGGGUGAGUAACACGUGGGCAACCUGCCUGUAAGACUGGGAUAACGCCGGGAAACCGGGGCUAAUACCAGAUCGUUUUUUCCUCCGCAUGGAGGAAAAAGGAAAGGCGGCUUCGGCUGCCACUUACAGAUGGGCCCGCGGCGCAUUAGCUAGUUGGCGGGGUAACGGCCCACCAAGGCAACGAUGCGUAGCCGACCUGCGAGGGUGAUCGGCCACAUUGGGACUGAGACACGGCCCAAACUCCUACGGGAGGCAGCAGUAGGGAAUCUUCCGCAAUGGACGAAAGUCUGACGGAGCAACGCCGCGUGGGUGAAGAAGGCCUUCGGGUCGUAAAACUCUGUUGCCGGGGAAGAACAAGUGCCGUUCGAACAGGGCGGCGCCUUGACGGUACCCGGCCAGAAAGCCACGGCUAACUACGUG
rnacentral:rRNA from 1 species